GCCCGGUUAGCUCAGCGGAAGAGCGCCAUCUUGAUAAGGUGGAGGUCGCAACUGCCUACGGGCAGGCUUGGGUUCAAAUCCUGCACCGGGCU
rnacentral:tRNA from 1 species